UGAUAAUUGCAUCAAAUAUAUGGAAUACUUAGGCCUAUAGCUGACAUAAAAUAUGUAAGAGUUGUACGGAGAAAAUUUUAAAACUUAUUUGAGAGAUGUUUAAAAGGAUAUAAAUAGAUAGAGAAACUGCCAUCUCUCUGUGGUUUGGAAGAUUUGUUAUUAUUAUUUGGCAUUUACUUAUUAAAAGUUGAAGAUACUAGAACCUAGAAGCCUGCAAUUCAACUCUUCCUUCCUUCACAGCUGAACUGGUUCUGCAGAGAAUUAAGCCCUAAUGCCUCAGGCAGAGAUUCUCGAAGUGUGCCCUAUGGCCUAGCAGCUUCAGGGGCAUCUAGGAACUUGUCAGAAAUGCAAAAUACAGGGCCCCACCCCAGACCUACUGAAUCAGAAUCUCUGGGUGUGAGGCCUAGUAACACGUGUUUCAACAAACCCUCUCCAUGAUUCUGCCUUCA
rnacentral:lncRNA from 1 species